rnacentral:rRNA from 1 species
UACAGGGGGUGCAAGCGUUGUUCGGAAUCACUGGGCUUAAAGGGCGCGUAGGCGGGCUGUCAAGUCUGGGGUGAAAUCCCACGGCUCAACCGUGGAACUGCCUUAGAUACUGACGGCCUCGAGGGAGAUAGGGGCGAGCGGAACUGUGAGUGGAGCGGUGAAAUGCGUUGAUAUUCACAGGAACUCCGGUGGCGAAGGCGGCUCGCUGGAUCUUUUCUGACGCUGAGGCGCGAAAGCUAGGGGAGCAAACGGG